rnacentral:rRNA from 1 species
AACGAACGCUGGCGGCGCGCCUAACACAUGCAAGUCGAACGAGAAGGCGUAGCAAUACGCUUGUAGAGUGGCGAACGGGUGAGUAAUACGUGGGUGACCUACCCUCGAGUGGGGAAUAACCCGCCGAAAGGCGGGCUAAUGCCGCGUACGCUUCCGUCCUCACGGGGACGGAAGGAAAGCUGUACCGUGGGUACGGCGCUCAAGGAUGGGCUCACGUCCUAUCAGCUUGUUGGUAGGGGUAACGGCCACCAAGGCUACGACGGGUAGCUGGUCUGAGAGGACGAUCAGCCACACUGGCACUGCGACACGGGCCAGACUCCUACGGGAGGCAGCAGUGAGGAAUAUUGCGCAAUGGGCGAAAGCCUGACGCAGCGACGCCGCGUGGGGGAGUGAAGGUCUUCGGA